GACGAACGCUGGCGGCGUGCCUAAUACAUGCAAGUUGAGCGCUGAAGGUUGGUACUUGUACCAACUGGAUGAGCAGCGAACGGGUGAGUAACGCGUGGGGAAUCUGCCUUUGAGCGGGGGACAACAUUUGGAAACGAAUGCUAAUACCGCAUAAAAACUUUAAACACAAGUUUUAAGUUUGAAAGAUGCAAUUGCAUCACUCAAAGAUGAUCCCGCGUUGUAUUAGCUAGUUGGUGAGGUAAAGGCUCACCAAGGCGAUGAUACAUAGCCGACCUGAGAGGGUGAUCGGCCACAUUGGGACUGAGACACGGCCCAAACUCCUUCGGGAGGCAGCAGUAGGGCAUCUUCGGCAAUGGACGAAAGUCUGACCGAGCAACGCCGCGUGAGUGAAGAAGGUUUUCGGAUCGUAAAACUCUGUUGGUAGAGAAGAAAGUUGGUGAGAGUGGAAAGCUCAUCAAGUGACGGUAACUACCCAGAAAGGGACGGCUAACUACGUG
rnacentral:rRNA from 1 species